rnacentral:rRNA from 1 species
GAUUGCCCUAGUAACGGCGAGUGAAGCGGCAACAGCUCAAAUUUGAAAUCUGGCCCCCAGGCCCGAGUUGUAAUUUGUAGAGGAUGCUUUUGGUGACGCGCUUACCGAGUCCCCUGGAAUGGGGCGCCACAGAGGGUGAGAGCCCCGUAUGGUUUGCCGCCGAGCCUCUGUAAAGCUCCUUCGACGAGUCGAGUAGUUUGGGAAUGCUGCUCUAAAUGGGAGGUAAAUUUCUUCUAAAGCUAAAUACCGGCCAGAGACCGAUAGCGCACAAGUAGAGUGAUCGAAAGAUGAAAAGCACUUUGAAAAGAGGGUUAAAUAGCACGUGAAAUUGUUGAAAGGGAAGCGCUUGUGACCAGACUCGCGCCGGGCGGAUCAUCCAGCGUUCUCGCUGGUGCACUCCGCCCGGCUCGGGCCAGCAUCGGUUUUCGCCGGGGGACAAAAGCCUCGGGAACGUGGCCCCCUUCGGGGGGUGUUAUAGCCCGUGGCAGAAUACCCCGGCGGGGACCGAGGACCGCGCUUCGGCAAGGAUGCUGGCGUAAUGGUCAUCAGCGACCCGUCUUGAAACACGGACCGAGGAGUCAAGCAUUAGUGCGAGUGUUUGGGUGUAAAACCCGCACGCGUAAUGAAAGUGAACGUAGGUGAGAGCUUCGGCGCAUCAUCGACCGAUCCUGAAGUUUACGGAUGGAUUUGAGUAGGAGCAUUAACGCUUGGACCCGAAAGAUGGUGAACUAUACUUGAAUAGGGUGAAGCCAGAGGAAACUCUGGUGGAGGCUCGCAGCGGUUCUGACGUGCAAAUCGAUCGUCAAAUUUGAGUAUAGGGGCGAAAGACUAAUCGAACCAUCUAGUAGCUGGUUACCGCC